rnacentral:lncRNA from 1 species
CCGCGAGUCUGGAUACUUGUCAGUCUAAGUACCUCAUUACUCAGACAUGUUCAAUAACAAGUUUUAAAAACUUCAAUCUCAAUUAUCUGCAACUCCAAAAAUACGGAUUUAAACCCGACCCUUCACAAGUAUUAUCGGUGAGUACAUGUAGCUUCGGGUACUCAUUGUUAUCCCUAUUCUUAAACGCUUACCAGUAGCACUGUGCCUUGUGAUGCUCUAACUUCUCUAAAUCCACCCCUUAAACAAAAGUGAAAAAUGCAUGCAGCAAUUCAGAAAACCAACUUAGUCAUUUUUUUCAAUUUAAUUCAGUGACACAGAUUCAACAAAAACCAAUGUACUCCAACUAUGUAAUGCAAUGUAAGUGCGAUAAUUAAUUAAGCAGAUAAGCAAUUAAAAACAACAUGGUCACCAAAACCUUUAGUUGAGGAAGAAGCUUUAAUGCCAGUGGUUUCAGUCCUAUUGCUAUUCCAAUGUGAAAGUGAUUUUGACCCUUUUCUACAUGUUGUUGCUGCCAUUUUUUCAACCCUUCGCCUUAUAAUAUAAUCUUCUGGAAUGAAUACAUCCAUUCCUAGAUGUGAAACUUCAACGGGGGGUUUGAAAAGGGCAUAAAAUAUUGUGAAAAUAAAGUUGAAAUUGAAUGGAAAUGUUAGUGUAGAGAUGGAAGAGAGGUAUCAUUAAUAAGUGGGAAAGGAUAAGAAAACUAUGGGCUUUUGGUCCCAACGUUUUAGGUUAAACUAGGAACUCAACCAUUUCCUGGAAAGUGUUUUGGGGUUUGUGUUCUCCAAACUCUAAAGUUU